GAAAAAGAAGCAACUAACAAAACACUGUGAUAAUAAGGAUUAUUCAGUAUGCAGUUUGCAGGAUAUCCAUGACGACAUUGAAAAUGAAUUUUUUGUAUUCACCAGAUAUUCUUAUAUGAGAAGAUCUAUUUUAAACAGUCUAAAUAUUUUUUCUUCUGUUGGACCAGCAUGGCAGGAUUUAAGCGAGGGUAUGAUGGAAAGAUUGCUGGAUUAUAUGAUCUGGAUAAAACCUUGGGUCGAGGCCAUUUUGCCGUGGUUAAACUUGCCAGGCAUGUCUUUACGGGUGAAAAGGUGGCAGUAAAAGUUAUUGACAAGACAAAACUGGACACUCUAGCUACUGGUCAUCUUUUCCAGGAAGUGAGAUGCAUGAAACUAGUGCAGCAUCCUAACAUCGUCCGCCUUUAUGAAGUUAUUGACACCCAGACCAAACUAUAUCUUAUUCUAGAACUUGGGGAUGGAGGAGAUAUGUUUGAUUAUAUAAUGAAACAUGAGGAGGGUCUUAAUGAAGACUUGGCCAAGAAGUAUUUUGCUCAGAUAGUUCAUGCUAUAUCUUAUUGCCAUAAACUCCAUGUGGUUCACAGAGACUUAAAACCAGAGAAUGUAGUCUUCUUUGAAAAACAAGGUCUUGUAAAGUUGACAGACUUUGGGUUCAGCAACAAAUUUCAACCAGGGAAGAAGCUCACUACAAGCUGUGGAUCUCUUGCAUAUUCCGCUCCAGAAAUUCUGCUUGGUGAUGAGUAUGAUGCACCUGCAGUAG
rnacentral:circRNA from 1 species